rnacentral:rRNA from 1 species
CCUACGGGAGGCAGCAGUGAGGAAUAUUGGUCAAUGGGCGGGAGUCUGAACCAGCCAAGCCGCGUGAGGGAAGAAGGUUCUGGGUAUCGUAAACUUCUUUUGUAAGGGAACAAAGAAUGGUACGCGUACCCCCAUGAGUGUACCUUAAGAACAAGCAUCGGCUAACUCCGUGCCAGCAGCCGCGGUAAUACGGAGGAUGCGAGCGUUAUCCGGAUUUAUUGGGUUGAAAGGGUGCGCAGGCGGGUUGUUAAGGCAGUGGUGAACGGUUGGGGCUCAACCCCCGAACUGCCGUGGAAACUGGCAGUCUGGAGUUCAGGAGAGGUAGGCGGAAUUCGUGGUGUAGCGGUGAAAUGCAUAGAUAUCACGAAGAACUCCGAUUGCGAAGGCAGCAUACUGGACUGUAACUGACGCUGAGGCUCGAAAGCGUGGGUAUCGAACAGGAUUAGAUACCCGUGUAGUC